CGAUGCAUUUAUACAACGUGCUUUUUAUACAUUCUUUAAAAAAUAAAGAAGAAAAAAGCUGAAUUAUUACAUAAAUUUAAAAUAAAAUAAUAUAAGAAUAUAUAAUAAAAAUAAAAAGACAAUAAUCAAGAUAUAGUAUUACGAGAGAGGAAAUUUAUUCUGUCACCAGAGAUACCAAUCUAAGAAUUAUACAUUAGAUUUAAAAAGAUUUUAAAUUUAAAAUAAAAUCAAAUAAAACUAAUGACAGAAAUUUUGUAAAUAAAAUGACAUUGAAAAGUAAAACUUGAUUGUUUUUAAAAAAAUUAUUUUUUAAUUGUACUUUAUACAGUAUAAAAAUAUAAAAUCUACAUAAAAUA